rnacentral:rRNA from 1 species
UACGAAGGGGGCUAGCGUUGCUCGGAAUCACUGGGCGUAAAGCGCACGUAGGCGGGUCGUUAAGUCAGGGGUGAAAUCCUGGAGCUCAACUCCAGAACUGCCCUUGAUACUGGCGAUCUCGAGUUCGGGAGAGGAGACUGGAAUUUACGGUGUAGCGGUGAAAUGCGUAGAUAUCGUAAGGAAGACCAGUGGCGAAGGCGGGUCUCUGGACAGUUCCUGACGCUGAGGCACGAAGGCCAGGGAGCAAACGGG